UAUGGCAAUGAUAUCUUGUGUAGUUAAUAAAUUAAUCGCAAAGUCAGUCAGAUGUAUUAUAAUAGUUAUUAUUAAAUGAAUAAUUUGCCAUUUGUCAUCUACAAACGAAACAAGUCAAUUUCUCUCUUUUUUUUCUCUUUCAGAAUGGCGACAAAUAUGAUUUGCGCGAAAGUAGUCGCAAUGAGGAGUGCUCUGCGUGCGAAGAGCUGGAUUUAUGCAGCUGAUGGCACCUUGUCCAUGCACGGCCAGCACAAUAAUGUAACUGUUGCCCUCUGUGACGACGAGAAAGCCUAUAAAAUAGUUCUGUUUGAACACUUGGCAGCCCUCGUCACAGAGGGACACAGUUACAUUUUUUUAAACUUUGGUGUGGACGAACGGGGCCAAGGGCUCCUCACCAAACCCGGCUCAAAAAUUUUCAUGGCGGCGGAAGUGCAAACCAGCCCACAGCUGGAAGAAGAGGUCAGGGCCCUGGUCUACCCCAAGUCAGUGGCAUCAUCUCCUCAGGAGGUAGUGAAUAAACUACCUGAGGAGAUGGUGUCACUGGAUGGCGUAAUAACCGAUAUGCGUCCAAUCCGCAUGGUGCGCCAGAGAGGGAACAACCUUGCGCCAUUUCGGACUUUGACACUUAAAAAAGAUGAAGCCGCUGUCAAAAUUGGCCUUUGGCGGGAGGCUAACCUCAUUGAGUUGAAGGUAGGGGGUUCCUUCGUGUUCACCCACCUGAGUGCCCGGGUGAACGAUUCGGGAGUAAUGCUCCACUCUACGACUUUCACAGAUAUAAAGGUUAGUAAAUGGCUUCAUAGCAGUGGAAUUUAAAUGGUGCUUGCUUAUUGCUUAUUAUUCCCUUUUCCAAGAUCAACUGGGUUAAGGUUCCCAAUCUAUUUUUCCCAUUACAAACAAUGGAAAACAAAUUAAUCCGUUCCAAGACUAAAAAAAUCCCUUUUUUAAGAUU